GAGUUUUAUGGAUUAUUUGUUAUGGAUUGGUUGGAGGGAUUAGGGGAAAUCAGUCUUGGGUGUUAAUGAUUAUCAGAUACAGACGGCAGACCGGGCACGUUAAAACUCCUGCCGCGCGAGGACGUAUCUCGAUCUCAAUGGAAAGAGCUUUGGUCUGAUGACGGGUUCUGUCAACGUGAGCCUCGGUUCCUUCCAAAAAAGUGAGACCGACCGUGUGCUGGCAAUAGAGUCCAAUGCAGUUCUCGAUGUUCGCCGGAUCCAUUAUGGCGUGCGACAUGUUGCCGUUGUAACGAGGCAAGGUUGGUUCCAACCCGGGGAAGACCGAUCCGGGUAAGGACUUUAGUCGUGGGACUGAUAACUUCAGUUGCCCACAGUCUGGUUGAACCUUGAACUACUUUCUUCAAACAAAAGCAGAAGAUCGGUGAGAAGAAAUAUUGGUUUUUUAAUAUAAUUUGUUAAAUUAUAUAAAAUUUUGUUAUUAUAAUUUGUAUUUAAUAUAUCAUCCUAAUUUAUAAAUUUUCUUA